ensembl:lncRNA
UUGAAACAAUGUAACUAAAUCAAUCAAUAAAAACAUUCAAUACUCAGGAUUUGCCUACAGAUAAAUAUCCCAUAGAGGUUACCUUCUGUCUCUAAAUCAUCUAAAAAGCAAAUUGGCCUUCUGUGUUUAAUCCCCCGUAGCAUAAAUAGUUGCUUUUAUCGGCCACGUGCCGCCCGGGAUGACGUCAUUCCGUGGCGGGCGCCUCCCUCUCCGCCUUCUUCAGCACGGUCAGAUCUCCAGAGUCCACCUUCUGAUGUCAUGCUCGACAAAGCCCCGUCUGUUAAGCUCCCGCAAGGGCCCGUCGUGGACCAUCACGCCCUCCUCUAAGAGGGGGGCCCCCGGCCAACGGCAACGGCGUCGGCAGCCAUCGCGCGUUCAUCUGAACCCGUGUCAUUGCUCCUGCGAGCCGAGCUCUCGCCCUCCGUUGUGAGGCGGGGAUUUACGGCGUGUGUGCACUUGUGAGACCUCGUUGAGGCUGCUCUGGUCACCGGGACGCUGCAGCCUCGCCACCACCAAUUAGGAGUGAUUGGGCGAGAGGCCGCGCAGGAUCCGCCCCGCCUGGAUGGAUCACUUCGACCUCUUACUCUUUCUCCGGAGUUAAGCCUAAAAACGCCGAUCCACAGCCGGCUCAAAGUGCAUUUGGAGCCGAUUGCGUGGUUUUGGUCAACGUUGGACUCCAAAAGGACCCUUUGCUCCCAUUGGCUCGGGUGUCAAUCAAAAGGUCAGAGUGCAGUACUGGUUACAUGCAAACUGGAGUAACAUUUUUCAAAAAUAACAAAUUUAAAAAAGAGGUAAAACAGAGGUUUGAUUAAAGUUGAAGAGAGACAAAUGCAUAAACCCCCAGGAGCGAAAGGGGGGAGAGAGAGAGUAGUUGCUAAACUAACUUUCAACAAUCAGGUCAAAGGUCAAAUUGGCGACAGGAUCUCUCGGUGGUCCAAAACACCGAUCGGGGAGCUCUGGUCUCAUAAGAGGGGGGGGGGGGGGCACACCGAGACGGUGUUGUCCAGAUGUUAAUCAGCGGCUUCUCAUCUACUUAAUGAACUUUUAUCUUAAUUUAUUAUAAUUUCACGAGUUCUUCUUUUGGAGGCCUCUCGCUGUCUCCCGUGCUGCAGUACCCCGCCUCGCCUGCGCUUCAGUGGCGGCGCUGUUUCUACAAGCAGAAAGCCUCAUUAGAUGCCAUUUAAGGCCAGUUUCUGGUUAAAUGUAGUUAACCAUAAAUUAAAUAACAUUUAACUAUAAACGAAAUAACAUCAUUUGGGGAACACGGAGUCUGCUAUUAUUAUUGAAAAUAAAAACAUCUUCAGUUUCUUUUUUUCAGAUAAGUACAGAAAAAACAAGAGACAUCAGGAAAUGAAUGACACAAAAUAUGUCCUUUCAAUUUGACUUUAAUAAUUUGUGCAGCAUCCGAGUAUUUGACCAGUGUGCGUUGAGUCACUGAAGCUCUCUUGGUAGCGUUGUGUUGGGUGGUCUUGCUAUGACACUUCGCCAUGACUGUAAACAUACAAAGGGAUUGCGUUGCCUCAGCUCCGUCACUGUCACCACUGAUUAAUACCCACUUCUGAUCAGUGCUGAUCGCAAAACAAUGGUUCACUGUGUCGGACGGCAUCCUGCCUGAACGAUUUCUAAUUGUCUGGAAAGCUGGAAUAUGGUAAUGACAUAAUGAAUUAACGUUCUGUGACUGAAGGGAAGGGGGCGGCGGAAGCGAUCGGAGCACGAAGCAGUCUGGGAA